ensembl:processed_transcript Gm11867 predicted gene 11867
GAAACAGAAAGAGUACAUUGACUUCAUCUUUAAAGACAAGUUUGAAGUUAUUCUCUGGAUGAUGGCUUUUUUCAUGCUUGAACACCUCCCUAGCUGAUACCUAGCCUAUCUUGUCUCAGGUUUCUGACCACGUGACUUUCCAACCAAUUAUUGAUCAGAAUUCCCCAGAGGCACCAAAUCGAGAAUCUAUAAUCAGCAUGGAAUUGCAGCUCUGGACAUGUCUAUAAGAGGAUUUCUUGAAUGGGUUAACUAAGUGAAAUCCAGGCAUAUCUUGGAAAUUUGGGUAUAAAGAGUUGAAAGACUGGAGGAAUGAAAGAAGUGAUAUGUAGCUCAGUCUUCUGGAUAUGAUAUGGCUAUUGCACUCAUGAGCCAAAAGAAGGUGUGGUUACCUGCACAAGAUCAACGCCCCUGAAAGUUCCAACACAAGUUUGGGGGCAACAGUAGGUCACUUGAAAAGUUUGCUGACAAGAACAUAAAGGCAUGUAUGCUGGAAUUCCCUCAGAAGGACCAACCAAAUAAUCCCGAUCUUCUCAAAGACAGCACGUCACUUAGGAUGCUGAGUGAGGUGCCAGGAGCUUGUUAAGUAGCAUUCUGUGAUGGCUCCUACCUGCCUGAAGAGAAGUUAAUCAAUUUACUGCCUCUGAAUUCCAGGAACUCAACUGCUCUGAAGUCAACUGCUCUGCUCCAAACUGAGCCCACUGCACUCAACUGAACUGCACCAAACUCAAAAGUACUGAUCCAGUAACAGUUUUCUUGCAUCAUAGCAUAAGGAAAAAAACAAUUAAAACAAUAGAAAAGGAAAGCAAUGUGUGCUUCUUAGGAACAAAAUGAAAGUAGUUGUUCAUGAUGGCUCCUGCCUUAAAAAUCACAAUAGUACAGAGGCUGAGGCAGGAGGAUCAUGAGUUCCAGACAAGCCUAAGCACACAGAGAACUUUUAAAGAAAAAUAAAUGGAAAGAGUGGAUUUGCGAAGGCUUUCAAGAAUCCCAGGAGAAAACUUUGAAAGAUUCAUGAUGUUAGAGGGGGAAAGUACCUUACAGCACCAACCAAACAACCUUAUUAUUUUUUUUUAUAUUACUGAUCUUUGGACAUAUGAAGGAAAAAUAGUGUUAAUCAAAAUGUCUGUUUCCAAGAAGAGAAGAACAGAUGGAUUUGUUGAAAAGCAGGGUUGACUGCAUUGUGCAGCAUUUGGAGUAACCAUGGGCUCCACCUGUGUUCAUCUGACAUCUGUCUGCAGCUGGAGGAAGUUCAGAAUUCACUGGAGUCCCUGAAAAGGUUCCAGCCUCUGGUCUCUGUUCUGCACUUUAGAUUCCUUAAUUUUCUAAAACUGCUGGUACCACAAUGUCACCUCUGCUUGGAAAACUCCCAAACCAUUUGCCAGUUCUGACAAGUUACUAAAAUGGCAGCCCCAUCUCAGUCUCUGAUCAACAUUUCUCCAUGAAUAGAUUACCAUCUAACCCAUAUCAUCUGAAAUUCCAGGGCUCUAUUCAUUGAGAGAGUAUGACUUUCGCUCUUUAGUGUUUUGUAGAAUAGUUCAGUGACUCUAGACUGCAACCUCUAGCUCUUAAUAACUCUAUCUACUAAACCCCCAUUCUGAUUCUAUUUCCACAUCUCUCUGUUAUUGAUAGUAUUUAAUCUUGCAUUGCUAUCUCCAUUGUGACUUUUUGUGAUUAUUCUUCCAAUGAUAGCUAUACUUCAUUUUUUUAAAUAAAAAUCUCAAUUUUGCCUU